rnacentral:rRNA from 1 species
GACGAACGCUGGCGGAGUGCCUUAAGCAUGCAAGUAGAACGAGUUUUACUUGUGCCGCAAGGCAUAAGUCAAACUAGUUGCGAACGGCUGAGUAAUGAGUAAGAAUCUUUCCUUUGGUGGAGAAUACCCCUGCGAAAGCAGGGCUAAUACUGCAUAAGAUCUACGGAUGAAAGCGAUUAACUUCGCGCCGAUUGAGGAGCUUACUUCCCAGCAGGCAGUUGGUAGGGUAAUGGCCUACCAAACCUACGACGGGUACCCGAUCUGAGAGGACGAUCAGCCACACUGGGACUGAGACACGGCCCAGACUCCUACGGGAGGCAGCAGUGGGGAAUUUUGGACAAUGGGCGAAAGCCUGAUCCAGCAAUGCCGCGUGCAGGAUGAAGGCCUUCGGGUUGUAAACUGCUUUUGUACGGAACGAAAAGCCCUGGGUUAAUACCCUGGGGUCAUGACGGUACCGUAAGAAUAAGCACCGGCUAACUACGUGCCAGCCGCCGCAGUAA